rnacentral:rRNA from 1 species
GACGAACGCUGGCGGCGUGCUUAACACAUGCAAGUCGAACGGAAAGGCCUGCUUUCCCUUGUGGAUUGCGGGUACUCGAGUGGCGAACGGGUGAGUAACACGUGAGUGAUCUGCCCCCAACUUGGGUAUAAGCCUGGGAAACUGGGUCUAAUUCCCGAUAGGACUGCAGGGUGGUGCCUGUGGUGGAAAACGAUUUUCUAGUGGUUGGGGAUGAGCUCGCGGCCUAUCAGCUUGUUGGUGGGGUAAUGGCCUACCAAGGCGGCGACGGGUAGCCGGCCUGAGAGGGUGGACGGCCACAUUGGGACUGAGAGACGGCCCAGACUCCGACGGGAGGCAGCAGUGGGGAAUAUUGCACAAUGGGCGGAAGCCUGAUGCAGCGACGCCGCGUGGGGGAUGACGGCCUUCGGGUGGUAAACUCCUUUCGACCGCGAGGAAGCCACCUGGUUGGAAGGGUGGUGACGGUAGUGGUAGAAGAAGCACCGGCUAACUACGUG